CAGUAGCCACGGGAAUACGGAGGGUGCAAGCGUUACUCGGAAUCACUGGGCGUAAAGGACGCGUAGGCGGAUUAUCAAGUCUCUUGUGAAAUCUAACGGCUUAACCGUUAAACUGCUUGGGAAACUGAUAAUCUAGAGUAAGGGAGAGGCAGAUGGAAUUCUUGGUGUAGGAGUAAAAUCCGUAGAUAUCAAGAAGAAUACCUAUUGCGAAGGCGAUCUGCUGGAACUUAACUGACGCUAAUGCGUGAAAGCGUGGGGAGCAAACAGGAUUAGAUACCCGGGUAGUCCCUGUCUCUUAUAC
rnacentral:rRNA from 1 species